rnacentral:rRNA from 1 species
GGGCAGCAUUAUUUUAGCUUGCUAAGAUAGAUGGCGACCGGCGCACGGGUGCGUAACGCGUAUGCAACCUGCCUGUAAUUAGGGAAUAACCCGGUGAAAGUCGGACUAAUACCCUAUAUUCUUCUUUCUCCGCAUGGGGGAGGACGGAAAGAUUUAUUGAUUACAGAUGGGCAUGCGUCCCAUUAGCUUGUUGGUAAGGUAACGGCUUACCAAGGCAACGAUGGGUAGGGGGACUGAGAGGUUGACCCCCCACACUGGUACUGAGACACGGACCAGACUCCUACGGGAGGCAGCAGUGAGGAAUAUUGGUCAAUGGGCGAGAGCCUGAACCAGCCAAGUCGCGUGAAGGACGACGGUUCUAUGGAUUGUAAACUUCUUUUGUAGAGGAAUAAUGGCAGCUACGCGUAGCUGAGAUGCAUGUACUCUACGAAUAAGUAUCGGCUAACUCCGUGCCAGCAGCCGCGGUAAUACGGAGGAUACGAGCGUUAUCCGGAAUUAUUGGGUUUAAAGGGUGCGUAGGUGGCGUAUUAAGUCAGUGGUGAAAAGCUGCAGCUCAACUGUAGUCUUGCCGUUGAAACUGAUAUGCUAGAGAGGAGACGAGGUAUGCGGAAUGUGUGGUGUAGCGGUGAAAUGCAUAGAUAUCACACAGAACGCCGAUUGCGAAGGCAGCGUACCAGGCUCCGUCUGACACUGAAGCACGAAAGCGUGGGGAUCAAACAGG